rnacentral:rRNA from 1 species
GACGAAGCCCUGGGUCGCAAACGGGAUUAGAUACCCCGGUAGUCCAGGGUGUAAACGCUGCAGACUUGGUGUUGGGGGCCCUUCGGGGGCAUUCAGUGCCGGAGAGAAGUUGUUAAGUCUGCUACUUGGGGAGUACGUCCGCAAGGAUGAAACUUAAAGGAAUUGGCGGGGGAGCACCGCAACGGGAGGAGCGUGCGGUUUAAUUGGAUUCAACACCGGAAAACUCACCAAGGGAGACCAUCACAUGAAAGCCAGGCUAAUGACUUUGCUUGAUUCUUGGAGAAGUGGUGCAUGGCCAUCGUCAGUUCGUACUGUAAAGCGUUCUCUUAAGUGAGAUAACGAACGAGACCCUC